rnacentral:rRNA from 1 species
UUGCCCUAGUAACGGCGAGUGAAGCGGCAACAGCUCAAAUUUGAAAUCUGGCCUUCGGGUCCGAAUUGUAAUUUGUAGAGGAUGCUUUGGGUGCGGUACCUUCCGAGUUCCCUGGAACGGGACGCCGGAGAGGGUGAGAGCCCCGUACGGUUGGAUACCAAGCCUAUGUAUAGCUCCUUCGACGAGUCGAGUAGUUUGGGAAUGCUGCUCUAAAUGGGAGGUAAAUUUCUUCUAAAGCUAAAUACCGGCCAGAGACCGAUAGCGCACAAGUAGAGUGAUCGAAAGAUGAAAAGCACUUUGAAAAGAGGGUUAAAUAGCACGUGAAAUUGUUGAAAGGGAAGCGUUUGCGACCAGACCUUUUCCAGGCGGAUCAUCCGGUGUUCUCACCGGUGCACUUCGCCUGGUUUAGGCCAGCAUCGGUUUUCUUAGGGGGAUAAAGGUUUAGGGCACGUAGCUCCUUCGGGAGUGUUAUAGCCCUCUACGUAAUACCCUUCGGGGGACCGAGGACCGCGCAUUGCAAGGAUGCUGGCGUAAUGGUCGUCAACGACCCGUCUUGAAACACGGACCAAGGAGUCGAACAUUUGUGCGAGUGUUUGGGUGUUAAACCCUCACGCGUAAUGAAAGUGAACGGAGGUGAGAGCCCUUCGGGGUGCAUCAUCGACCGAUCCUGAUGUCUUCGGAUGGAUUUGAGUAAGAGCAUAACUGUUCGGACCCGAAAGAUGGUGAACUAUGCGUGGAUAGGGUGAAGCCAGAGGAAACUCUGGUGGAGGCUCGCAGCGGUUCUGACGUGCAAAUCGAUCGUCAAAUCUGCGCAUGGGGGCGAAAGACUAUCG